UACGUAGGGUCCGAGCGUUAUCCGGAAUUAUUGGGCGUAAAGAGCUCGUAGGCGGUUUGUCGCGUCUGCCGUGAAAGUCCGGGGCUCAAAUCCGGAUCUGCGGUGGGUACGGGCAGACUAGAGUGAUGUAGGGGAGACGGGAAUUCCUGGUGUAGCGGUGAAAUGCGCAGAUAUCAGGAGGAACACCGAUGGCGAAGGCAGGUCUCUGGGCAUUAACUGACGCUGAGGAGCGAAAGCAUGGGGAGCGAACAGG
rnacentral:rRNA from 1 species